ensembl:lncRNA
GAUGUCUUUUCCGCCCAUGUUGAAAGGGAUUUGGGAUCAAGUGAAGGAUGACAGCACUGGAAGACUUGGGUAAACCUGAAACAGAUCAGCUUGUAAGAAGCCCUUGGACGCCGUUGUGAAACUUCCAGAGAGCAGCGCCGUUAAAACUUCUGAAAACAGAACCAAAGGUGAAAGUGAUUCUGAAAUCACUCGUUGGAGCAGCUGCUGCAGAUUUUCACAAUGCCAGGCAGCUGAAUGGUGCCAAGCGCCUUCACACUUCACACACAGAGCACUUGCAUAAACUCUAAGUUUCUGCUUACCAUUUACAUGUACAUCCAUGAAAGAUUUUAAACUUAACGUCAUCCGCAUUUAAUUUAAUGUAUGCUAUUAUAGUAUAUUC